UAAAUUAUAACCGUCGAUUAGACUAUAACUCUCCAAACCCUAAAGGGGUAAUACGACUACUACCCACCACUCCACCAGCCCACCCAGAGACCAGAGUCCCAGACUGCUCAGCCACUCUUUCCCUCAGCCCCUCGAGGCCUCGAAGGCUUGAGGCUCGAACCGAGCCCUUUCUCUCAGACUCAAUCACUCAAACCCUCUCCAGCUCUCGAUUCGAUUCAAACCCAGAACUCUUCGAUUCGAUUCGAGGCCUCGAAGGCUUGAAGUUCGAUUCGAUAAAAGCUUCAAACCCAGAAAAUCUCGUAUCUAAUCAGAGAUUCAUGGCCUACGGCCGAAGUUCGAUUCGAUUCUAACCUAGAACUCUUCGCCUCUCGACCUCUCCUUUGAAGUUCGAUUCGAUUCAAAGCUUCAAACCCAGAAAUCUCGUAUCAAUUCAUUCGAUUCAUGGCCUACGGCCGUUAAUCACUUAAUCUCAAGUGGAAUCAGUCUCUUUGAAGUGGAAUCUUGAUUUUUUACUUGUAUAUGAACAGGAGGACCGAGGACUAAGAAAGCAAAGUGACUGCACAACUGAAGGUGUUGCUCCAAUCUCAACAAUUCAAGAGGUUUAGGAGCACAGCAUUUGGUUGGUUUGGAGAAAGAGGCUAGGUCAGUUUUUUAUUGCAAAUUUAGAUGAUGAAAAUGUUAUAUGUUAUAUGAUGAAAAUGGUUUGAAGUUUCAAUUGUUAUAAGCUUUCUGAAUUUUUGUUUGUAAGAAUUGUGAACUAAGAAGACAUGUUUAAUGUUUUUGUGAACUGUUUUAUUGUGUUAUUGUUUUCUGUUUUCUGUUUAGGGUAUGGUUUGUUGCUAUGUGGAGUUG